AAAUUGAAGAGUUUGAUCAUGGCUCAGAUUGAACGCUGGCGGCAGGCCUAACACAUGCAAGUCGAACGGUAACAGGAAGCGCUUGCUGCUUCGCUGACGAGUGGCGGACGGGUGAGUAAUGUCUGGGAAACUGCCUGAUGGAGGGGGAUAACUACUGGAAACGGUAGCUAAUACCGCAUAACGUCGCAAGACCAAAGAGGGGGACCUUCGGGCCUCUUGCCAUCGGAUGUGCCCAGAUGGGAUUAGCUUGUUGGUGGGGUAACGGCUCACCAAGGCGACGAUCCCUAGCUGGUCUGAG
rnacentral:rRNA from 1 species